UUUCUGUCUACAUAAGUGGUCCUCAAACUUUUCCAUACUGGGACACCUUUUCCAGACCAGAACAAGGAUCCCUCUCAUGUGACCAGAUCCCCAUAUGACAGACUGACAAUAUCCCCUACUAUCCUUAACAACGUUAUGGAAUUAAGGGGAUUGAAAACAGGAGAAAGUGGAUAAGAAGAAACAAAGGGAGGGAAGAAGAACUUUAUAACAAAAAAGGAGCAAACUUGUCAUCACCUCAAGCUGACCAUGUGAAUCCUUUUCCCAGCUCCGUGCUCAGAAAUUUCAUGACACAGUAGAGAUUUACACAUGUAGGACAGGAACACAGGGAUGAAACAAGCCAGCUCUUUAUUUUCACUGAUGUUCUUUCCUUUUUGCUGCCUUCUCCCAGGUUUGAUGGGAGCCCUUGGGAAUCUACAUGUAAGCAAUACUCAUGUCUUCAUUCUGCUGCCAGCUUCUCUCAGCCUUCCCCUCCACUGUAAAUCAACACGGGGAGAGAAAUAAAUGAAGAAUGGGGGAAAUGCCUCCUGGGAAACUGACUUUGUGGAGCAAGGUCUGCCAAUGGAUAACCCGACCUUGUGCAUAUAAUUUUGGAAUUAGUAUUUGCCAGGAUUCUACACAAUGUCCCUGUUCUGUUUUUAUAAGCAUCUGAUUGCAUGGAACACAAGCUUUUAUAUCUUUUUCUAGGCCACAUUUCUAUUUUGUAAUAUGUUUCGAAUCAAAGAGAAAAAGCAAUCUCACACAAUCAAGCUAGAGCUGCCAUUAGAUGAUUCAUUCUCUUUCAAAGAGGAUUACCGGUCAAAGCCACCCAAAAACAAC